rnacentral:misc_RNA from 1 species
GAAGUGCGAUAAGCAAUGCGAAUUGCAGAACCGUGAGUCAUCAGAUUUUUGAACGCAACUGGCGCCGGUUGGCUCUCCAACCGGCAUGCUUGUUUCAGUGUCUCUUUAUCUCAUCACCCAUAUCAUAAUGCGAGAGAUACCCUUCUCUUGCUAAGCUCGAAAGCACUCUGCGCUCUGCGAGCGGCUUCGACUUGUUCGAGGGUCGCACUCAAUGCAGCCGUCACAUUGCUCACAAUGUGAACUCGUUGAGAGCUGAGGCAGUGUAGCGUAAGCUACCAGUGCUUAGUCACACAAACUUUACUUGCAUCUGAAAUCAAGCAGGAUCACCCGCUGAACUUAAGA